CAUUUUGCAAAAAGAAAGAUGAUUUUUCUAUCACGUGCCAAAUCAAGUAAAAACUUGCAAUGCCUUAUAUUUAUGACAAAAGAUAUUUGCAAUAUAAAUUAUAUAUAAUUCACGGGACACCGUGACGGCGACGCGACGGCAGCCGAAAUCGGGCUUUCGAUGACACUGGCGGGCUUGGACUGGGCCUAAACUUGGGCUCAACAAAUCUCAGCCCAACCAAGAUUUGUUCUUGCACUGGACUGGGCUCACUCUUGGGCUUGGGCUUGGCUCACUCUUGGGCCUUCUUCGCGGGCUGGACUUGGGCCGAAGUUGCUGAAUUGGGCUCAAUGGAGCUGUUGGAUUUUUGGGCCAAAGACUUGGGCUGCUGAAAUUUUUCUUGGGCUUCAAAUGGCGUGGGCUUGCUGCAACUGAACUGGAUUCGCUGAAGAUGGGCCGAGCUUCAUAGGUCCACUUCGUGCAGGGCCUGCGGCUGUUGGGCCUCGGUGAUGAAGGGCUGAAGUGUGGACGAGGGGAGUAGCAGCUGCUUCGCUUUGGUGAUGUUGGGCCCGUGAAAUUCGCUGGAUGUGGACUGCACAAAUUCGUGGGAAUCACGGUCAACAAAUCUGUAGAGGCUGAACCUGAAUCUGCUGGACUCAUGGCUGAAUUCUUUAGCGUUGUUCGGUUCAGGACACGUGCAGAUGGAGGAGCUUCGGUGGAUGAACGGCACGUGAGAAGUCAACUUCGGUGGAGGAACUUGUUGGGUUGUUGACUCGGUUUGCUGCGGCGGAAGACCAAAGAUUGUGGGAGAGCAGCUUCAGUAACCGCCUGGGAAAAUCUUGCGAACGUGCUGGCAGCCGAAGGAAAAGAAGUGGAUGCGUGGGGAUUUCUUCGGUGGACUUGCUUCGUGGAAUUUUGGGGCUGCUUCAGUCAACUAAAGCUUCAAUGGUUGACUGGAGAUGGGUGAUUUGCAGACGAGUGGCAGCUUGGCAUGGGAUGAGGCGCGCGAGUGAAGAAUCCUGGCAUGAGUGGUGCUUGCUGGAGGGGAAAAAUGGUGAAGACGGCAGCACAUGGAGGGAGAGAGAACAUGGAACGAAGGCGACGGCCACAGGGGUUGUUCGGUGGAAAGUUUUAUUGGAUAAUUUAAACGAAGGAGACAACAUAAGAUGGAGGUCGGCAGCUUGGUCCGCACGGAGGAGGGGAAUAGAUAAGGAUGAGUACCCCAAAAGUCCACAACUUAAUCUGUUCCAUUAAAACCUUGUCCCCUCUAAUUCUUUCUAGAAUAUAAUUUCACCGUUUAUUCCAAAUUAAAGCCAAAAAGCGGCCCUUAGUCCAAUUCCGAAUUUCCUUAAUUUUUGGCUCCAAUUUCUUCAUUUGAUUCUCCAAAUCAAUGUCAAAUUUUGCAGAAGAAAAAUCCCAAAUAAUUUUCUAUAAGUCCUUGACACUCAAAGGUUUGAUAAAGAGGCCAAAAAUCUGAUCGAUUUGGCUGAUCCAAUUUUCCUCUAAUUUUCCGCGACGUUUGAAUCGGUUUUCCGUAAAAAUCCUAGAAUCUUUGAAAAAUCUUCUGAGACUAAGUUGACAUUCCUAAAAUAGCUCGUAACACCACAGGACUUUCAAUUUCUGAAAUUAGGUUCGAAUUCACAGUUAAUUUCCAUUUGAUGCAUUUUUAGCGUGACCUAAGCUACUGAGUAACUUUCAUAAAUUUUUAGUGCAAAUGACCCAUGGUCGAUUUUCUUCAAGCUACUAUGAACCCACUCGACUCAUUAGUGACUUUUGAUUGUCGUGAAGAUCUUGAGAAUUCAAGUACAAACAUAGGGUACCAAAACGAAUGUAAAAUCAUAUUAGUGUCGGUCGAUGAGAAUUUUCCAAUUUAGUGGUGUUACCACGAUUAGUCACACAUCUCAAUCGAAUCAACCUAUAUCUAAUCUCAAAUCGAUUUAUAUCUAUGUCGUAAUGGUCUCAACAGAUGAGCACAGUCGAGAAGCCAAUUCCUGAUCGAAUUCUCAAGUCUAUUGCAUUAAAAGUCCUUAAUGGUUUCCCCAGAUAGUUUAGUUAUCUCUAGAAUGAUCAGUUCUGAGAACAACUCUAUAGACGCGUCAAUGAAAUGCCCAAUUUAUUCAAUAGAAAACAUGACUGAAAAUCUGGGAUGUCACAAAUAUAAUGCCUUGCCUUGAGUCUUAGUAACCCCCUGCGAAGUGGUUGCUUUAGGGCAUAACUCAUUUUUUUGAAAGACUAUGCUUACUUUCGUUUCAUCAAUUGAUUCGAUGUUAAUUAUAGCAAAAGGAAGCGUUUCUUUGUGUUACACAGAAGAAAUCAAUUCUAAACACUAAUAUAAUUAGAUCUACUCUUCAUUGCCAAACUUGGAAUUCACAAAUAGCAUCGCCAUGGCACCCUAAAUGGUAAGCUUCAUAUAGGCUUAGCAAUCUGCACACAUAUGUGAUAAGAGAUUUCUUGAAGUUGCCUUCAUCAUCCUUUAAAAUUGUUAAAGACCUCCGUGCAACCAACCAACAUGGGGAAAAAAGACAUAAUCAAUUAGAAAUUAGGAAGGUGAUACACCCGGUUAAUGUUCUAGAUUUUCUUUGACUUGUUUCUCCUAGAAUUUGAAUGAGCAAUGGUAAUUUUCCAAAGAAAGAAUUUUAUGGGAUUAGUUCACUUUGUUUAAGACUUACCCAAUGAAAUAUUGAAACCUUGUUGUCCCAGCAAUCAAGACAUAAAAGCAAUCAUGUGAAGGUUGUCUCCUUUAAAAAUCAGGAAAAUUAUAAAAAACAAUCCUAAAUUUAUUGCAAUUUUUCUAAUUUAGUCUUAACCUUUUUUUUAAGUCACUUAAUUGUAAACUUUUUGCAAUUACACCAAUUUUGUCUAUCAGCCAGAAGUCAAAAAUUUGGCCAAUCAGUUAUAAACCCUUCUCGUGAGGGCUAUUAGUAGCUGGGUGAGGCUCACCCUCACUAGAGGCCGCAACAUUGCGUGGCCUUAGGCGAUGGCUACUAAUGGCUAGGUAGUGGCUGCGCGAGGCUUGUCAAGCCUCACUAGCCAUGGUGAUGCCCUACCUAACUAGAUGUGGUGAGGUCGAAGGGCUUGACCUUGUGCAACCUUUGGCUUGGGCGAGCCUCAUCGGCCAUGGGCAAGUCACGGCCUCGCCAAAUCUGGCAAGGCCUCACUCAGCCAUGGCGAAGGUGGCCUCACUAUCGCUAUGCAAGGCUCGCCUUCGCCAUUGGUUGGUGAGGCUAACUUCGCUAGCGCUUGCCUCUGGCUAGCCGUCGGCCAAAGGAAGGAGUAAGGAGGAAGGAGGAAAAAAGAGAGACAAAGAGAAAAAGAAAAAGAAAAUAAAAAAUUGAGAAUUAAAUUAUUAUAAAAAAAAUUAUCCAUGUUAGUAUCGGCUGGUUAAGCUUGGAUAAACUAAAUUAGCACAAUUGCAAAAAAUUUAGGACUAAAUUAGCUAAAAAAAUGUUUAUGACUGAAUUUGAAAAAUUGUAAUAGAUUUAUGACUAGUUUGUAAUUUUCCCCUUAAAAAUCUCCAUGGUCAAGUUGUGAGUAACUUUUGUGGAUCCGUUCUAAUUGCUCAUCAAUUUCUUGUUCAAUUCCCAAGCAUUGAACUUAAUCAAUCAAGUGAAGCAUUUGUUAUCCACGACACCAGUCAAUAUCUCCCUCACCUCUCCUUUCAAUUCCUCAACUUGUUCCUCCACUCUUCCAAGGAAUUUGAACUUCUGCACAUAUAUAAUAUGCCGUUGCAAGUAAAAGCAAGCAUGGGAUACGUAUAAUUAAAAAGACUCCGGGGAAAGUAGAGUUACUGUGAAAAUUAAUAAUCAUGCUAUCUUGGUUCCAAACCCAUGAAAAGAUACGAAAACAAGGCAUAUUGUGCAAACUCCUCAAUACGACGAGCAUGUACUUUUAGAAAAGUGAAUUAAUGAUAAAGACCAAAUCAUUUCAUUUUGAAAUUUCUCAAGAGACGAAAUCAAACAUUAUUCUCUAAAAAUUGAAUAAUCGAUGCCCAAAUCAUUUCAUUUAGGUGGAGUUAUACAAUUGAUGUUUUUGUUGGGGGGGACUGUUGCAUACAUCAAGCGCAUACGGUAUAGUUUGAAUGUGUCAAACGUGACUGAGUUUGGCAUAAUCAAACUCUCGAGUUAGGAAGAAAUUAAAUGUGACCCACAUUUAGGGAACUUGCUAAAGCAGCAGACCUAAUUCAAAUGAUUCGGCAAAAAACGUUAUUGAUCAACUUUAUUCGCCAAGAGAAUGCACUUCACUUUAGAGAAGAAUCACUAGCCGUUGAGUAGGAGGGGGCAGCGUAUUUGAGGAAGUGAUCCCUCCAUACGCUCUCAUGAUAUUCUGCCCACUGGCAUUUGACCCCGCCUCUUCUUCCUUUACUCAGUGAAGCAGAUGGAAUUGUUGAAACCUAAACCAACAUGUUCCCGACUAUUUUCAUGCUUAUGCCGGACUAAUCACGAAUUGAAGACUAAGGAGAGGAUUUCGCUGCGUUGCAGAACAUCAACACUUGAUGGGUAUUCAUAGUCAACAUGUUCAUAGCCACCUUGUCACUUUUGGACUUAUUUUUAGAGCAAACCAAUCACAUUUUAAUGAAUAUUAACGCAAGUGAAGAUUGGCAAAAAAAAAAAGAUAUUCUCCUUAUUAUAUAAUUAGUCCAAUCCACUCCGCCUUUGUAUGGCAUCGGAUAUUAGUAAAUUUAGAUGAAAUAAAUAUGGUUUUAUUUUCUAUUGGAAUCACUCAUGAAAACUUAUUUCUUAUGAAGUGAUGGAUUUUGUGUCUCUGUGACUAGAUCUAGGGUCAUCUUUCGGGGAAUUUGUAUACUUCCAUACAUACUGGGUGAUAAUUAACUCUUUGUAACAAGUGGAGUCUAUUCAUAAAAUAUACGAAGCAUAUCAUUUUCAUGUAAGUUGCCUGCUUAGUUAGUGGUCCAUUAGCUCUGGUAAGAUCUUGGGUUCAGUUGUCUGAGUCACGACAAGAUCUUGGGUCCUCUUUCAUGGAAUUUGUAUACAUUCCUACAUAUCGGGUGAUAAUUAGCUCUUUGUAACUAGUUGAGUACAUUCAUAAAACAUAUGAAGCAUAUCAUUUUGAACUAAGUUGCCUACUCAAUUGGUGGUCCAUUUGCUCUACCAAGUUCUUGGAUUCGGUUGUCUAAGUCACAACAUCCUUAUUUUCGCCCUACAUACUAUUUCUGUUGCCCGUGUUUAAAUGACGGAAAAUAAAAGUUUUACUAAAUAGGUUUCUAUUCUUUUUUCGUUUUCUGGAAUAAAAGAACAGAAAUAGUUGUUCCGGGGAACAAAAACAACUUUUACCAAACAAGCCCCUAAUGUACAAAAAAAGAGAAAGAAGAUUUCCAUGGAUUGAAACCAACAGACUUAGAUUGGGGGAAGCCAAUGUCGGCAUCUAAUAAAGAAUGAUAUCAUUUUUCAUAAACUAUCAUACAAAUGAUUAAUUAUUUUAUUUGAAAAUGCUUUUUAUAGAAAAUGUUUUCCUUUAUCAUGAAGAUUUCGGUCAAACAGACACACUCGAAAUUUAAAAUUUAUUUUAUCAAAAUAUAAGAAGCAGGACAAAAUGUUAGUUGGACCAGUUUUUCAUUUUAUUUUUCAUUUUGUAUAUUAUCAUGCCAACACUAGUGAGCAACCUUUCAAUGGCUGAACUAAAGAACUCUACUACUUUGAAUGUGAAGAUUUCACCUGUAUAGAGUUCACCACCAUCAAUUUUGUCAACAUCCGUGGACAACCUCUUCAUGAAAAAUCACAUUUAAAAUCAAGGAGUCCAGCGCUUCUAUGUCUUGCUUAGAGUAACUUCAUCCUCCUACCGACUACAAAGUGACAUUCUUUCGGUAACAACUACUGACUUUUAAUACACAUUAGUUGUAGAGUCUUACCUAGAGAUCCUAAAAUCAAUAAGUUAUGAUGAUAAAUUAUGGUAUUCAGCUUUAGCUCUCUUUUUUUUAAUAGAAAAAGAAAAGGGGAGUUAUUGGUAACAACAACUAACAGAUUAUAUUUCAAAGGCCUACCCACUAGUAAACUGAUCUGACAUGACUUAUGGAAAUCUAUCCGUUCCUUUGUAAGAAAGGAGUCCUUAGUAGGAAUGACGGUGUCAUCCUUCCAAGUACUCUUCCUCUUUUUCUCAAUUUUCUUUUGUCCACUUUUUCCCUUUAGUUCGGAUAUGAAGAUAUUGGUAUUGAUACAACUCCUUGAUUUAUAACUCGUAACCUCACAAAUACAAUAGUGUGAGUAAAAUGUCUAGCAUAUCUAAUUUUUGAUUAGAAAGAUUGUUAAUAUGCAAUUUUACAAGUUUAGCUUCGUCCAUUUAACACCCUGAAAAAUUACAUAUAAUUAUGAACUUGCUAUCGCUCCCAUAAUAUUAGCAGCUAUAAUUAAUAGAUGGUACUACUCAUGUCACGCCCCAAUUCUCAGAGUACGUGCUCAUCCCUCUAUGGUCGAUUUAUUAGCGAUGUCCCAGGAUGCAUCGCCAACCCAUUCUAUUUUAAAAUGCACAUGUGGAAGCAUAUAUAAAAUCCCCAGACAACAAUUCAAUGGGAUAGGAAAGCAAGACUAUAAAUUCUGGAAAAUUAAACCAUACCUUUUAUACAUAUCAUAUCACUUUGGAUACAAUACUACUCGAUAUUUACAAAGUCUAACAAAAGGCUUGAUUCUCAAAAUUAGUAGUUCUAUACCCAACUACUCCGACUUGUCUACUGAGCUCUUUAGGUCCAUAGGAUCCAUACGAUACGGUGGAUCCUCUACCAUACCAUCAGGGAGACUAGCCACAUUCCCAUCUAGAGCACGGGUAGCAUCGAUCACUUCUGCUGGUAUACCAAAGUUUGAGAGAGGGCCUAUUCUAAGACCAUAAGGGGUGGUAUGGAACCAGGCCCUAAAUCUUUUGGGCCUCUCCUGGUAUGGAACUUCCAAAACCCAAAUGGUUGUCACAACCAUCUCAUACGUCCAGUCACUCUUGGGGUCGGGGAAAACUGUGACUUGCUCUAUUAUUCGUGUCGGAUGACCGAGACGUCUAGGAGGAAUCGCCAUCUGUGAACUUGAAAAUGUGGUCCCACAAUGAGGUAAGACUAUAUCUUAGCAAGUUCUACUCCUUAAGACUCGAUUAGGAAAUCAAUAUACUUUAGGGUCGCCUAUGCACAACAUGAGUCGAAGGACUUACCUUGGUCUCAGAUUCCACCUGUAAAUCAACACAGUUCAAUAGAUACCCAAAUAAUCACAACAGAUCAAAACAUCGAUCAAAUCGACCUAAUCAAUUACAUGUCAAUCGGAUCGUUUCCCGGUCAUAUCAAUUCAAUCGAUUAAUUCACAAUGUUAGAUUAAAAUAAUGAUCAAUCGACCGAGUCGAUUACAUGUCAAUCGGACCAUUCCUAGGUCAUUUCCAAUCACCAAAUCACACGUACUCUCUCGGGCACUAUUUUCGCCAAGGUGAUUUAAGUCACUGUUUUCGGCAAUGAUAUUCCCAAUCACAGAACCACGCGUGUCUAUAUUGAUGCAGGUAAUGGACAACACUCAUGCUUUCUUUAAGGUGAUGUUUUCACCAGUGAUUUCCUUAUCACCGAACCACGUAUGUCUAUGACAUCGUACCUAAUUGAUCUUUGCCAAUAGUAUUUCCAAUUCACUCUCACGAUUCUCCCCACCUUACAACUCAUCAAGCAUUGUAAAUGCUAAAUAACCAUACUCGGCCAUCUCCCAAAAGCAGCUCUUAUUAUUAUUAUUAUUAUUAUUAUUAUUAUUAUUAUUAUUAUUAUUAUUAUUAUUAUUAUUAUUAUUAUUAUUGUUAUUAUUAUUAUUAUUAUUAUUAUUAUUAUUAUUAUUAUUAUUAUUAUUUUAUUAUUUUUAUUAUUAUUAUUUUUAUUUAUUUAUUUAUUUAUUUUUUGGAACAAACGGACCCUUAGAUCUUUGACGCUAUCAAUUGCUGCAAACACAAAGACCUUCAUUAAGUCUGCAAAACGCAAUUGCAAGAAAACAAAGGUAGUAGACAUAAAGAAGGAUUACUAACCGUUGAGUAGGAGGGGGAAGUGUAUUUGAUGAAGUGAUCGCUCCAUACGCUCGCAUGAAAUUCGGCCAACGGCCGUUCGACCCUGCCACUUCUCCCUUUACUCGGAGAAGAAGAUGGAAUUGCCGGAACCUGAACCGACAUGCUCCCCACUUGUUUCGUCCUUCGUCUGUGGAUGUCCAAUGAAUACACAAGUUGAAAACUGAGGAGAGGAUUUCGCUGCGUUGCAGAACAUCAAUCCUUGAUGGGUAUUUAUAGGCAACAUGGUCAUAGCCACCUUGUCACUUUUGGACUUACUUUUAGAGCAAACCAAUCACAUUUUAAUGAAUAUUAACGCGAGUGAAGAUUAUUUCGUGGAGAAAAGAAGAUAUUCUCCUUAUUAUAUAAUUGGUCCUAUUCACCCUGUCUUUGUACAACAUCGGAUAUUAGUAAAUUUAGAUGUAGUAAAUAUGAUUUUAUUUUCCAUCAGAAUGACUCAGGAAAACUUAUUUUUUAUGAACGGAUGGAUUUUGUGUGCCCAUGACUAGAUCUAGGGUCCUCUUUCAGGGAAUUUGUAUACUUCCAUUAAUGCCGGGUGAUAAUUAGCUCUUUUUAAUAGGCUGCUUCUAUUCAUAAAAUGUAGGAAGCAUAUCAUUUUGACGUAAGUUGCCUACUCGGUGGUCGAUUGGCCCCGAUAGGUUCUUGCAUUUAGUGUUUUGAGUCACAACAAGAUCUUGGGUUCUCUUUCGGGGAAUUUGUAUAUUUUCAUAUAUACCGGGCAAUAUUAUCUCUUUGUGACAAGUUGAGUCUGUCCAUAAAACGUACAGACCAUAUCAAUUUGACAUAAAUCGCAUACUUAGGGUGCGUAUGGUAACGUUUCUGUUCAAAAAAUUGUUCCAGGGAAAAAAAAUUGAAAAAACUAUUUCUAUUCUGGGGAACAAUUUUUGAACAGAAGAUCGCGUUUAGUAAACUUGUAUAAUUUCCAUUCCUAGAAUAGAAAAAAAAAAAAACAGAAACACGUUUGGUAAACUUGUACAAUUUUUUUUUUGUUCAUUUUAAUUUUUUUAAUUUUAUUUUUCCUUUUAUUUUUCAUUUUUCUUUUUCUUCCUUUUGGCCAGUCGCCGGCCUUGGCCAUGGCUGGCGACCGGCUGACGAGGGCCGACAGCCUCACCCACAACUUAUAUUUAGACACAUGAAAAAUACGAAGUCUGAGCCAUAAAAUGGAAGCUUUGAUUAGUGGUUCUAAAUUGUACAUUUACUUUCAAACAUCAUGGAGUACCGUAGGAUCAUGUAAAAUCAUUAAUAAAGAAAAACAAACCAGUUAUUUCAAGUUCUAGUUUCCAUGAUCCACCUACAUAUAAUAUGGACCUACCCAUCGAAAUAAAUUCUACAAUUUUUGGAAAUUAGAACCUAUCUUGCAUACAUUAGAAUUUAAAAUCUGACAGGUUCCUAUUAAUCCGAUUCUCUGGUCUCAGGUUCUAUUCUGGAACCAUGCUCACCCCUACUCGUCAUGUCCAAUUUUCAAACCGAUAAUUUUGAAGAUAGCUAAAGUCCCUUCCAAAUUUGGAAAAAAAGAAGAAGAAGAAGAAGAAGAAGAAGAAGGAAUGUUCCUUCUGAGUUUCGUCACAUCCAAUUUUCAAACCAACAAUUUUGAAGAUAGCUAAAGUCCCUUUUGAAUUUGAAGAAGAAAAAGAAAGAAAGAGAUAAGGAAGGAAUGUUCAACAACCUUAGUGUGUGAUAUUUUCAAAUCGACGACUUUGAAGACAACUAAAGUCCCUUCUGAAUUUGAAGAAGAAAAAGAAAGAAAGAAGGAAGGAAGGAAUGCUCAACAACCUUAGUGAGUCAUAUUUUCAAAUCGACAAUUUUGAAGACAGUUAAAGUCGCUUCUAAAUAUCGUCACAUUCAAUUUUCAGACCAAAAUUUUUGAAGAUAGCUAAAGUCCCUUCUGAAUUUGAAAAAAUAAAAGAAAAAGAAAGAAAGAAGGAAUGUUCAACAACCUUAGUGCGUGAUAUUUUGUGGAAGGAGAAAGGAAGAUGGUUCGUUGCGAUCAUGCAUCUACCAUUGUCAACUCAAUUAAGUGAAGAUCAAGGACAAGUGUUCAUUACCAAAGAUCGAUGAAUUGUGGGACUAGUUGCAAAGAGAGUGUUAAUGUUUUCAAAGAUCAACUUGAGAUUAUGAAGUCAUCGAUUGAAAACCAGAAAGGAGGCUAUACUCAAGACAGCUGUUUGUUCUUGAUUUGGUCUUUAUGAGAGUAUUGUGAGAUCGUUUGGCUUGGCGAACACUCCAGUUGCCGUCAUGGAUUUGACAACCCGAGUGUUCAAGGAAUAUCGAGUUUCGUUUGUGAUUGUGUCUUUCCAUGAUAUUUUGUGUAAUAGAGAAAUGCUAAGGAGCAUAAGAAACAACGCGGAAUGGCGAAAGGAUUUUCAUGGAUCUGAUCAAGACUGAGUCAAUUAUUAGUGGAACAAGAUCGAUAAUAGUAUCAGAGAUCAGAAGUAGUAUGGGUUGGACAAGUCACUUCAGAAAGUUCGUGGAAAGAGCCUUAGCAUCGGUGUUGUCAGAGAUCAGAAGUAGUAUGUGUGUCAGACAGUUCGUUUGGAUGGAGUAUCAAUCACGAACUUGUAUCAGAUUUAGAAUCAAGGAUUUCUGGUUUUAGCAUAACAGUCAGAUAGUUCUUUUGAGGCAGAACAGAGCAGAGUGUACAAAAUUUUAGUUUGUUGAGAUGAGAUCAGAGAAAGAAAUAUCACAGGUUCAGAGUUAGUUCAGCAGUUAGUAAUUUCAGUUGUCGUGAGCAUAAUCAGAUUAUAGACCGCUUAGAGCCAUAAGAAAGAUUAGAUAUUGUGAACCAAGAAAGUCCCUUUGGUUAAAGUGGUCGGACAACACCACGGGACUAAAGGAGUACCUGGGGAAAGUGAGACUUGAGGAGACGAUGAUACCUCACCUUUCGUUAGGAUUGGUAAAUGUUUAAAUUUUGAGGACGAAAUUUUUAUAAGAGGGGAAGAGUUGUGACAUCCCAUAUUUUCAACUCUGUUUUCUACUGAAUAAAUCAAACAUUUCAUUGACGCGCCUAUAGGGCUGUUCUCAGAACUGAUCACUCUAGAGAUAACCAGACUAUCUGGGGAAACUAAUAAGGAUUUUAAGGCUAAUAGACUUGAGAAUUCGAUUAGAAAUCGGCUUCUCGACCGUGUCUAUCUUUAGAGGCCAUUGCGGCACAGUAUAAAAUCGAUUUGAAAUCAAAUAUAGGCCGGUUCAAUAGAGAUGUGUGGCUAAUCGCAGGUAACACCACUAAAUUAGAAAAUUCUUGUCGACCGGCACUAGACUGAUUUUCAUAUUGUUUUGGUACCUUGUGUCCGUAUUUGGAUCCUUGAGAUUUUUAUGACAAUCGAAAGUCGUCAAUGAAUCGACCACGAGUCAUUUGCUAUAAAAAUGCCUGAAAGUUACCCGAUAGCUUAGGUCACGCUAAAAACACGUCAAAUAGAAAUUAACCGUGAAUUCAAGUCCGAUUUCAAAAAUUGAAGACUCUAUGGUGUCACGAGCUAUUUUAGGAACGUUGACUUAGUCUUAGAAGAUUUUUCAGAGAUUCCGAGAUUUUUGCGGAAAACCGUUUCGGACGUUGCGGAAAAUUAAUAGAAAAUUGGACGGGCCAAAUUAAAGGAAAUUUGGGCUUCCGAGCCAAGCCCUUGAGUGUCGGGGAUUUAUAGAAAAUUGUUCGAGAUUUUUCUUAAACAAAAUCGGACAUCGAUUUGGAGAUUUGAAUGAAGAAAUUGAAGCCAAGAUUUAUUAAGUUCGGAACUAAGGAGGGGUGCUAGAAUUUUGGCACCAAUUUGGAUUAUUUAUGGAAUUUUUGGUUGGAAAGUAUUACGGGAGACAAGCAUUUAAGAGGAGAUGCUUGUGUUGAUAUUUUCCUCCUUUUCUUGGCAUGUUGAGCACGUCCCAACUGCCGGCCUCCAUCUUCUUCACGUGAGCUUAUCCUCAAUCAAAGAUUUAUUCUACUUUUGCUUUUCAACUUUCGCUUCCUCCUUCCUCAAUCAGUCCCCACCGCCUGCUCCAUUUUCGGUUCCCUCUGCCGUCCACGACUCAUCCACCGAGCUGCCGAGUUCGGUCACACAGCAACCGACCGCCCCCAGCAACUCCCCCAUCUUUGACCGCUUCUGUUUCACUGUUCCGCCAGCAGCGACAAUCGAGCUGCUCCUCCACCGAUUGACGUCACCCACCGUCCACGUGCAUCAUCAGAAAACCCCCCACGCCCUGCUCGAAGCUGCCAUCAUCCACCGAAGGCCCACACGUCCAUGGUCUGUUCUCCCUCAGUCAACCGAAGACCAUCAGCCUCUUCGUGUCUUCAUUUUACCGGUCAUCCAUCCAGCAACGAAGAGCCCAAGCUGCCAGGCGUCCUCCUCCACUUUCACGUUUCAUUUCCCUGCAACAUUCUCGGGCAACAAGUCAGUUCAUGCGGCCACCGAAGUUGACUCCAUCGACCGCACGAACCAAUGAUUGUGAGCCAUACGUGUUUUCUUCUGUGAUGUAAAUAAUUGUGAGCCAUGCUUCCCAACAUUCUCGGUCAACAAGUCAGACAUUGGCCUAAUCUCAAAACUCCAGCAAAUUUAGUAUCCUUAUUUGAUAUCACGUGCAAAUUUGAAAAUUCUCCUUUUGUCCUCAAUUGCAAUUUUUCCAAACUUGUGUUCUUAAAUUGCUGAUCUUGAGAAGUUUAAUUUAUGUGGUUUUCUUCCUUUAAGAUAUAAUUGUGUGUGUACUUGAGUGAUUGUUCUCGGCUUGAUUGUGCAAGUGACCCAUUUCGAUUCACUUUUAUUGAUUGAUUGAUUGAAAAUCAAGAUCUUAGGAUCUAAGUGCAUGUAAUUUUUAAACGGAUGGUUUAGGACCAAUGCAUGUACACGUGUAAACCAAAGGGAUACACCUAAACCAAAAAUCUAGGAGUCUUUCAAUCUUGACCACUGAAAGUGCUAGUAUGAACACCUAGAGGGGGGUGAAUAGGUGUGAAGAAAAUUUUUCGCAAAAAACAAUAGAAAUAAUUUUCUUUUGAAACUGAGUCUGAAGUACAACAGACUUAGAGCGAGUUUACACUUUAGCAAUUAAAUAGAACUACGAACAAAAUAAAUGAGUUCAAGGAUGAGAAUAAGAAUACAAGGUUUAUAGUGGUUCGGCUUAGAUCAAGCCUACGUCCACUCUCCUACGCUAACAGCCUUCUGCUGUAUUCCACUAUGUAAUCAACAAGAGAUUACAACUUUGAGUGUAAACACUUAGAGGUAGAUCACACUAUCUCACUAAGUCACUCUUUUGGUAUUUCUCUCACGAUCACAAAUGUUUAAGCUCACGAAAGACAAGUGUAUGAUCGAAGAUCGCUCAGACUUUGGAAUUAGAAAUUCUACCCUCCGUCUCUUACUUGCUCAUCGGUCCUUGAUCUCCUUAAAUACUCCUCCACUUUCAAACUAGCCGUUGGAUAGUAUUUUAGAGGAUCGUUUUCUAAUCUACCCAUUGAACAGAUCUAUAUUAAAAAGAUUUGGUAGCCGUUGGUUGACAAAAGUAGAAUCCCAAAAUGAUUUUGAUCACCCAUACAAACAGAAUCUUGGUUCCAUAAGUAGAAAUUCUUCAUAUAUAAAGUUGUUGUCUUCGAGAUCUAAUUGUCAAUAAUAAAAUCAACCUUGAUGUAAAAUCCAAGCCAAAUCACUAGCCAUUAUACAUUUGGGCUUGUGUUACGUUCUGUCUGGUUCUAGAUAUAAAGUUUAAGAGCAAUAGACUUUACAAUCUGAGUCUGAGUGUAAGAGAUUUUACAAUCCGGAUGUAAGUCUGAACAUAAUCUACUUCUGAACAGAUUUAGCUUUAAGGUCUGAACAUAAUCUGAAUAAAUUCAGUUUCAGCAUAGUCUAGCUUCUGGUUUUUCAUUCAUGUUUAGUCUAGAAUUUGUCAAAGUUGGCAGAUUUCUAAUGUAAAACAGACUUUGACACUAAAGUUUAGCAGUCUUCAGACUUUGACACAGAAAUCUAGAAAUCUUCAUAAUAGACUUUGGACAUGUGUUACUUUCAGUCUUCUAGCAGUCUUCAGACUUUGACAAGUUCUAUUAUCUGCAUAGUCUAUUAUUCAACCAUUGAACACGUUAGUAGUCUUUGAUUUAUUUUGUCAUUUUCAAAACAUCAUAAGGGAUUUCCCUAACAAUCUCCCCCAUUUUUUUAUGAUGACAAAACAAUAUCUGAAUAUGCAGAUGUAUAAUCACACAUUCUAAAAUAAUGAUAAAUCAAUCAUCAAAUUUUAGAUUUUCCAAAAAAAUUGUGAUUUGAAUCAAAAGACAACAAAUAGAUUGAGCAUAACAAUAUAUAGAAAAAUAAUCGCAGCUCAAUAUUAUGCAAUAAAUAAUAUUAACCAAUCAACACAUAUGCAUAUUUAUAUUCUCUCCCCCUUUUUGUCAUAACAAAAAGCGAUAAUAAUGAAAAAAAGCAUCACGUAGAAAAUAUAAAUUGAUAUCAAAUAUAUCUUGCAUGAAACACAAUUUUCAAAAAAUCAGCUUUUAUAAAGUAAGUCGAAUAUUAAAUAUAUGCAAUAUAGUUCACUUCAAUCGUAUAUAUCAGUAAAUAUCCAAUAAAAAUCAUGAUUGCAUUAUAAAAUUUACUUACCUCUUUUAUCAUAAUAAAACGAUAAUGUCAAUAAGAGAUUUUGUUGAUGACAAAAGGUAAUAAAAGAUGCACUAAACGAUUUUUUUUUUAACUUAAUAAGUUCUGUUGCACUUACCUUUUCCUUCCUUCCAUAAUAAUAUCAUAUGAUCGAUUCAAAAAUAUUUUUCCAUAAUUAAUCAAAGCUCCCCCUCAAUUUGUUGCAUUUUUUAGAAGAUCACAAUUAUUUCCUUUCUCUUGGAUUCGCUUUCUCUCCCUGUCAUCAUGACAAUAUUUGCGAAUAGCACUAAUUGUGGCUUGUGCACAUUGAGCUGAAUAUUUUUCCAUUAUUUCCUUUGUAGCAACAAUAUCCACAACAAUCAUUUGCAUUUUGAAAUUCGAGGCAAAAAUUUAUUUUCUUCAAUCAAACUCUUCGCGAAUUCAACCUGCAUAAACUUAACGCACUUUUUACACAAAUAAACUAUAAUAAUAUCCACAUAAUAUAUAAUGCCAUUUUUUCAAAUAAAUAAAUUGAAUAGCAUAUAUAAAAUUAAAAUCCAGAACUACUCAACCUUUCGUACGAUACAUUACGGAUUUCCUUAACAAUUUGCAAAAACUUUGCACAAGGAAGAAAAAUUUUUAGCCUCCAAAAAAUAGUACAAAAUCUCCAUAAUUUUUUUAUCGAGCUUUCCAAAAUUCAUAUGGAAGAUUCUAUUGCCACCUGCAAAAUCUUGUAUAAUAGAUGAUAAUCUUUGCAAAAAAAGUCACGUAAUAUCUUCCUUUGAUUUGCGGAUCAAACUUGUUAGAUAUAAGAUAUCUUUUAUGAAUAUAGCAAAAAUAUUCAUAAAUAUGCAACAAUAUUUUUCAAGAUCAAAGGAAUUUCCUUGAGCAUAAAUCUCAUAUAUAUAUUAUUGAUGCAUUUCGCAAAAAGAAAGAUGAUUUUUCUAUCACGUGCCAAAUCAAGUAAAAACUUGCAAUGCCUUAUAUUUAUGACAAAAGAUAUUUGCAAUAUAAAUUAUAUAUAAUUCACGGGACACCGUGACGGCGACGCGACGGCAGCCGAAAUCGGGCUUUCGACGACACCGGCGGGCUUCGACCGGGCCUAAACUUGGGCUCAACAAAUCUCAGCCCAACCAAGAUUUGUUCUUGCACUAGACUGGGCUCACUCUUGGGCUUGGGCUUGGCUCACUCUUGGGCCUUCUUCGCGGGCUGGACUUGGGCCGAAGUUGCUGAAUUGGGCUCAAUGGAGCUGUUGGAUUUUUGGGCCAAAGACUUGGGCUGCUGAAAUUUUUCUUGGGCUUCAAAUGGCGUGGGCUUGCUGCAACUGAACUGGAUUCGCUGAAGAUGGGCCGAGCUUCAUAGGUCCACUUCGUGCAGGGCCUGCGGCUGUUGGGCCUCGGUGAUGAAGGGCUGAAGAUGUGGACGAGGGGAGUAGCAGCUGCUUCGCUUUGGUGAUGUUGGGCCCGUGAAAUUCGCUGGAUGUGGACUGCACAAAUUCGUGGGAAUCACGGUCAACAAAUCUGUAGAGGCUGAACCCGAAUCUGCUGGACUCAUGGCUGAAUUCUUUAGCGUUGUUCGGUUGAGGACACGUGCAGAUGGAGGAGCUUCGGUGGAUGAAGGGCACGUGAGAAGUCAACUUCGGUGGAGGAACUUGUUGGGUUGUUGACUCGGUUUGCUGCGGCAGAAGACCAAAGAUUGUGGGAGAGCAGCUUCAGUCACCGCCUGGGAAAAUCUUGCGAACGUGCUGGCAGCCGAGGGAAAAGAAGUCGAUGCGUGGGGAUUUCUUCGGUGGACUUGCUUCGUGGAAUUUCGGGGCUGCUUCAGUCAACUAAAGCUUCAAUGGUUGACUGAAGAUGGGUGAUUUGCAGACGAGUGGCAGCUUGGCAUGGGAUGAGGCGCGCGAGUGAAGAAUCCUGGCAUGAGUGGUGCCUGCUGGAGGGGAAAAUGGUGAAGACGGCAGCACAUGGAGGGAGAGAGAACAUGGAACGAAGGCGACGGCCACAGGGGUUGUUCGGUGGAAAGUUUUACUGGAUAAUUUAAACGAAGGAGACAACAGAAGAUGAAGGUCGGCAGCUUGGUCCGCACAAAG
rnacentral:lncRNA from 1 species